GACGAACGCUGGCGGCGUGCUUAACACAUGCAAGUCGAACGGUAAGGCCCUUCGGGGUACACGAGUGGCGAACGGGUGAGUAACACGUGGGUGAUCUGCCCUGCACUUCGGGAUAAGCCUGGGAAACUGGGUCUAAUACCGGAUAGGACCACUGCCUGCAUGGGUGGUGGUGGAAAGCUUUUGCGGUGUGGGGUGGGCCCGCGGCCUAUCAGCUUGUUGGUGGGGUGAUGGCCUACCAAGGCGACGACGGGUAGCCGGCCUGAAAGGGUGACCGGCCAGACUGGGACUGUGAUACGGCCCAGACUCCUACGGGAGGCAGCAGUGGGGAAUAUUGAACAAUGGGCGUAAGCCUGAUGCAGCGGCGCCGCGUGAGGGAUGACGGCCUUCGGGUUGUAAACCUCUUUCAGCACCGACGAAGCGAAAGUGACGGUAGGUGCAGAAGAAGGACCGGCCAACUACGUGCCAGCCGCCGCCGUAA
rnacentral:rRNA from 1 species